UACGUAGGGACCGAGCGUUGUCCGGAAUCAUUGGGCGUAAAGAGCGUGUAGGCGGCCACUUAAGUCCUGCGUGAAAUCCUGCGGCUCAACCGCAGGCGGUCGUGGGAAACUGGGUGGCUAGAGUGCGGGAGAGGAGACUGGAAUUCCUGGUGUAGCGGUGGAAUGCGCAGAUAUCAGGAGGAACACCGAUGGCGAAGGCAGGUCUCUGGGCCACUACUGACGCUGAGGAGCGAAAGCGUGGGGAGCGAACAGG
rnacentral:rRNA from 1 species